GCUUUGCAAUAGACUCAAAUUUGUUGAAGUAACCAUGCUGUUUGAUUUUGAUAUCAUAGGAUCAAUUUAUUUUCAUUCUCACAAUUAGGAUAUGAAAUUAAUGUUUUUGUUAAUCUUAAACUAUGAUAUAUUACACUAAUUAAGGGUUUGUUGGUUUCAAUAUGUAGUUGUGGAUGUUACCAAGAUAUCAAUGUGGUGAAGGAGUAACUACUAAUUGUAAGGAUAUUUCUUGUGGGCUUAGAGGUGUCAUAUCUGUGUGUAGGUUUACUUUUGGCUCCUACCGAUUUGUAGGAUUAUUCUAGAUUUCAAUCAUGUAUGUGUUGAAUAUCAUUAGUAUUAAUGUCACUAGUGAACAUGACUGCAAGUUUUUCUCUAUUUGAGAUUUCGAGCCACUAUGUCAUUUCCACUGUCUAUUUGACAUAUAUCUAACACAAAGUAUUUCUUCUCAACGCCAUUUAGGGACGGGAUUCUAUUCUAUGAUGUUUGCUGCUUACUUUCAUUGAUUUUGUAAUGGGUAUGUGAUGGUUAAUUUGUAGCUUCUCCCUUUAGUUAUUUGAAUUGAAAUAGAAAUUUUAUUAUCGAAUAGAUGCUAGAUAGCAAUUGAAUCAUGAAGUUCCUGAAAAAUUGUUGAAUAUGUUUCUAUUUCUUAUUUCCAAAGAAUGAUUACUCUCUUGUAUGAUGUAAUAUGUCAAGGAGUCAUUUAUGUUAUCAUCUAUAUAUUUUGAAUCAAAUAACACAUUUGAAAUGUAAUCUAUCAAGGAUAUGAUGAGUUUAUUUUAUCAUGAACAUAGAGGUACUAAGCUAGACUAUUUAAGCUGAAGAAAACAUUAGUGGUUUAACUAAAAGGAUAUUUUUUGGUUAAACGGUGAUGAUUUGUUGGAUGAUUUUCAGGUUUUAUGUUAAGAUAACAUCUGCAAUAGCUGAGGAAACACAUAUGCCUUUUUAUCAAUUCUUGGCAUCUAGCAUCACAUGCAAAAAAAAAUUGGCUUGUAAUGUGCUCAUAUUAUCGCUACAUCAUUGUUGUUGUGUUGUUAUAUUUUGUUGCUACAGGUUGUGGUUGACGAAUUGAUGGAGAAUUGGUGCCAAAUUUAUCGUUUCACGCUAUGCCCACCAAGUGUUCGGUAAAAGUUCUGAACCGAGAUUCUUCUUCCUUUAUCUUACAUUAUUUUGUAAAUUUAUUCGGUUUUAGCUUAUGUAUUGUGAAAGAGACCAUUGCCACAACUAUUCUAAUUGUUGUCAUCUGACUUGGAGAUCGUAGGUUUAAGCCUUGGUCUCGUGUAUUCAGUAUCUUGCUUAUGCAAAGAUAACAAUAUGGCCAUAUAUUUUCUGAUUGUAAACCAUUCUUUAACAUGCUAUUGAGUUCAUAGAAGAUACUUGAAAAAAGUGAAUCAUGUCCCAAAAAUUGACAGCACCCCUUUAUAGCUUGUGAACAUGACACUGCAGCCAGGUGUGAGGGUCCGUAAACCUGCACCUACCAAAGGUCAACCAGCCGUUGCUGCUACAGAACCACAGGAAUUUCUAUUUGUGAGCUCGAAAUGUAAGAGGUAUUUCCACAACCGUUUGAAGCCUUCAAAGCUCACAUGGAAUGCCAUGUACAGAAAGCAACACAAGAAGGACAUUGCCUAAGGGGCUGUGAAGAAAAGAGGCGUUGCGCCACCAAGAAGCUCCAUUUUUGGUGCUACCCUGAAAGUCAUUCUGGAGAAAAGAGCUGAGAAGCUCGAAGUCUGAGAUGCAGCCAUGUUGCUACCGCGAAAAUCAACAAAAUCGCCACUAACAUAUUUAUCCUGAAAAGGAAGAGAAUGCCAGCAAACCACGAAACAAAACAACGGUCUCACGACCAGAGAAGAGGGUAAGGGAGUCGGUUGCGCGAGGGGAAGGUAUUAGCACCCCUCGCGCCCAUCGUACUCGAUGGUAUCCACGCUUGUGUCUAAGACUAUGGGUGUGUAACAAAUCUACGCCUAAACUGAACUAGUAUGCAUGCAAAAUGUAGGGAAAAGAAAGAGUUAUACUCGCACGGGCCCUACCCCGCUGUCUACGUAUCCUUUUUGAGGAAUCAGAGGUACCAUAGCUCGGCUAACUAGUUUCUGUUUGUUUUGUGUUUUUUUAGGUGAACGAGUUACAUUCACACUCCGCUGCUCGACCUUUGGAGUCUUACGCUUGGGAAUGAAGCGGAAAUAACAAGCUCUUAAGAAAAUAAAAUCAAAAAGUAUGGUUUGUGUUUUAAAAGAUGCAUGAGGAAAACCUAAGCUAAGGGGGAAAGCUUGCUACCUAUGUUAUCAUACAAAGGGUACAAGACUAAACUAAACUAGCAACCUAUGGGAAAAAGCGAAUGCAAACAAAAGUAUCACACAAAUGAGUCUCGCUCGUAAAACAAACACCUACUAGCGCGGGCCAAGUAGUAGAAAAACGGUCCCUCUAUAGCCAAGGGGAGCGUAUCACCAGAGUCAACCAAGCAUUAGACCUUGCGCAAAAAGAUAUCGGGCCAUAGACAAAAGGAGCGAAUCUCUCUCAGCAACCAAGCUGUCACAGAUCUAAAAGGAAAAUGGUGCGUGCGUACACCGAGCAUCAACAUCGGUCAACAUGAGCUAAGAAACGUGGGGGUUCGAUUGCAUGAACCCGCUUCACUUUACCCAUUGGGCCUUCGACUCGACGAUCUUGGGGAGUUGUCCAGAACUCUGAACUUGCAAAAAGUGAGCAUAUGGACGAUCUGGGGACUGAAAGUUGCGGGGGUUGAUUGCUAACCCUAUUCUCUUGCCUUCUCGAGGACUUACAAUGGCCUUUGUUAGGACUUCCUGCAAGCACAAACGUAAACACACCAACAAAAACAGAGCCUCUUUCGAGGGCUUGUCCAGAUGCGAUGCAUGUCUAAGUUCUACUUCUCAUGUUAAAGGAUGAAAUAAAGCGAUAACAUGUGAGAAAAGGUAAAAUGAAACGAGAUCAAUACCAAACGGAUUAUGAUCCAUAAACUGCAGCAAAAUAAGAAAGAAAACCAGAGAUCCCGCAAGCGAACUAGCAAAGGCAACAGCAAAUAGUCAGCACACCAAUUAGCCACAUAAGCAAACAAGGGUUGACAUCGUGAAAAUAAAUCACGCGUCAACGUACGUAUCGAGCAUAAUCACAAUACACCUGCAAGAGAAACAAGCAAUCCAGACAAACAUGUAUAAAGUGAAACACAUGUCUCCAAGAUGAGAA